rnacentral:lncRNA from 1 species
UCCGCACUUGAAUCUACACGUUGGGGGCGAUGAACCCGGUCCACUGAGUUUCUGCUGCCCAUUAAGGAAUACUGGUUCUGCUUCACAAAAAACUAAAUACAGUUAGUAACUUAAUUAAUCACAACCCAAUAGAUUAAGAAAUAAAGCAAAAAUGGAACUCACUAGUUGGGUUAAUUAAGGGUAAAGCUGAAAUAAUUAGUAGUAGAGAAGAAAUCAGCAAAAGAAAUGUGAAAAUCGGAAAAGGUCUAUGGCGGUGGCGUGAUACGCUCAUCGCCCGAAUUAAUCGAAGCUCCAAUGCAACAAAAUAAUAAGGAAAGUUAACAUGGAGAACAAGUAUGAGAA